rnacentral:rRNA from 1 species
CAGCAGUGGGGAAUAUUGCACAAUGGGGGAAACCCUGAUGCAGCCAUACCGCGUGUAUGAAGAAGGCCUUAGGGUUGUAAAGUACUUUCAGCGAGGAGGAAAGGUAGUAGAUUAAUACUCUGCUACUGUGACGUUACUCGCAGAAGAAGCACCGGCUAACUCCGUGCCAGCAGCCGCGGUAAUACGGAGGGUGCAAGCGUUAAUCGGAAUUACUGGGCGUAAAGCGCAUGCAGGCGGUUUGUUAAGCGAGAUGUGAAAGCCCCGGGCUCAACCUGGGAACUGCAUUUCGAACUGGCAAACUAGAGUUCUUGAGAGGGUGGUAGAAUUUCAGGUGUAGCGGUGAAAUGCGUAGAGAUCUGAAGGAAUACCAGUGGCGAAGGCGGCCACCUGGCAAGUAACUGACGCUCAGAUGCGAAAGCGUGGGUAGCAAACGGGAUUAGA